rnacentral:rRNA from 1 species
GACUCUCGACGAUGUAUAUUUUGAUUCUUACAUUGAUAAAAAAAAUGUAGCAAAAUGUAAUAUUUGAUGUGAAUUACAGAAUCACCUAAAUCAUAAGUCUUUGAAUCUAAGUUGCAUCCAAAAUCAUUAAUUAGACUGAGGAUAUGUUACAAAAGUCA